rnacentral:rRNA from 1 species
CGCUUCGGCGCUGCCCGAAGAUGAGCCCGCGUCCCAUUAGCUAGUUGGUGAGGUAACGGCCCACCAAGGCGAUGAUGGGUAGCCGGCCUGAGAGGGUGUACGGCCACACUGGGACUGAGAUACGGCCCAGACUCCUACGGGAGGCAGCAGCUAAGAAUAUUCCGCAAUGGACGAAAGUCUGACGGAGCGACGCCGCGUGGAUGACGAAGGCCGAAAGGUUGUAAAGUCCUUUUGUUGGGGAAGAAUAAGCAUGGGAGGGAAUGCCCGUGUGAUGACAUGAACCGACGAAUAAGCCCCGGCUAACUACGUGCCAGCAGCCGCGGUAACACGUAGGGGGCGAGCGUUGUUCGGAAUUACUGGGCGUAAAGGGCAUGUAGGCGGCUUUGUAAGCCCGGCGUGGAAGCCCACGGCUCAACCGUGGGAUUGCGUUGGGAACUGCGAGGCUUGAAUCAUGGAGAGGGAGCUAGAAUUCCUGGUGUAGGGGUGAAAUCUGUAGAGAUCAGGAAGAAUACCAGUGGCGAAGGCGAGCUCCUGGCCAAUGAUUGACGCUGAGGUGCGAAAGUGUGGGGAUCAAACAGGAUUAGAUACCCUGGUAGUCCACACUGUAAACGAUGUGCACUAGUGCUGGGGCGGAUGCUUCAGUGCCGGAGCUAACGCGGUAAGUGC